CUCCCUUGGUGACGUCAGGGCCCCUCGGCAGCCGCGGGGCAGCCUCCUCCCGAGCGCACCUGACAGCUCUCGGAUCGCUCCGCAGGCGGAGGUUGCCGAGGCACCGGUGGUGACGCGACCUUCGGGUGGGCUGCCAUCUGGGCCUGGUCCCUUCAGCGCUCCUCGACCUCUGUGCUUCGCUAGCGGCUCUGAUCGCCGCGUCGUGCCUUGCUGCGGAGAGCGCCGCAGCGACGAGCGGUCAGCCAUCCUCCGGCGCUCGUCUGCGCAGCCCCGGUUAUCCCUCUCGGGUGUCCCUUCGAGUGGAGGAGAGGCCACUCUCCCGCUCCUCGGGCCAGGCCAUCCGGGAAGCAUCGGCAGCAGGUCUUGGCGCCUCGGCCGCCGGCGGUGGACACAGACACUGGCGACUAGAUAAUGGAGUGGGGAAGCGGGACCCCGCGGUCUGCUGCCGGGCGCCCGAGGCCGAGAGAGGCCCGUCGGAACUCCGGACGUAGGAGAGACUUGACGGGGGUUCCUCGGAGGAACACUGUGAACUGUGGUGGCAUCCGUGGCCAGGGCAAAUUGGAAUUUCAAUCGGUUGUUUGAGGGGCACCAUGACGCUGAGGCUCUUAGAAGACUGGUGUAGGGGGAUGGAUGGGAACCCUCGGAAAGCACUGUUGAUUGCCGGCAUCCCCCAGGCCUGUAAUGUGGCAGAAAUGCAGGAGGCUCUGUAAGCUGGUUUAGCUCUUUUGGGCGAGUACCGACUGACUGCUCAGGAGGCUGUUCCGGAGGGAUGAGAAUAGGCACGUAGCUUUAAUAGGGCUUACUGAGGAGACAAGUCAUGCUCUAGUCCCUAAGGAGAUACCCGGAAAGGGGCGUGGCUGGAGAGUGAUCUUUAGCCCCCAGACCCAGACAACGAAUUUUUAAGCAGAUUACAUGAAUUCUUAAAGGGAGAGGGCAUGACUUUGGGUGAGUUUACCAGAGCCCUUGGCUAUGGAAACGGCCCUUUUGAACUAGACCAGAGCAUGAUCCCAGAAAUGCAGGCUGCUAUGUUGGCACAGGCAUUAGAUGAGGCUGUGCAGCCUGCCCUGUAAUACUUGAAGUACAAAAAGCCGAAAGUAUUUUCAGGCAGUGACCCUUCAGAACCAGAAGAAGAAGAAUUUGAAUCCUGGCUGUUUCAUAUCACUCAAAUAAUGAAAACAUGACAAAUGUCAGAUGCUGAAAAAAGAAGGCGAUUGCUGGAGAGCCUUAGAGGCCCAGCAUCUGAUAUCAUUCGUGUCCUCAAGAUAAACAGUCCUUUAAUCACAGUCCCUGAAUGCCUGCAGGUUCUUGAGCAGGUAUUUAGGGUUCUCGAUGAUCCUAGGGAGCAGCAGUUCAAAUAUUUGACCACUUAGAAGGAUGAAGAAAAACUGUCUGCUUACAUACUAAGGCUGGAGCCUCUACUGCAGAAGCUGGUAGAGAGAGGAGCAAUUGAGCCAGAAGUUGUGAAUCAGGCCCAUCUAGACCAAACCAUUGCUGGAACGGUCUGCAGAACACCGGGCAGGAAGUCGACUCUAUCAGAGGAGGCUCAGUCCCUGGCUUAUUGCAGUUACUGACACUAAUAAAAGAUGAGGAGGCGGCGGCGGCGGCGGAGGAGGAGGCCCUUCUCCAGGCAGGAUUAGAGGGGCAUUUCACUUGAAUUGGGGAAAUGAGGAAGGGCCAUCUGGCAGGGUGCAGAGCAUGAAGGUAGAACCGCCCAAAGGCUCAGUGAUUAACACCAACCAAUCCCUAUCUUGUGCUGCCAAGUAACUCAUUUCUGGGCAGUUCUCAGUAUAAUGCUUUGUCGUUUGGGGCCCUGUUUAAUAUCUCCUAAAUGUGUCAUUGACUAAAAGGAUAUAGUCUUGUGCAGGUAUUUAUACAUUUAAAUUCACCCCAUGAAUUUUCUUAUACACAGUUGUUCAAAAAGGCUUAUCACUGCACAUGUGUGAUACUCUGAGAGGACAGGCAAGGUUCAGGUGCAUAUGCUGAUCAGAUCUUGUUGAGACGUCAGCUCGUGUGAUAAUAGGUACAAGCAUAGCUGUCAGAUGUGAUAAUGUACCAGAAAUAGAUUUUAGGUGCACAAUGCCCUACAUUAAACAUGAAGCUACUGAGCAGUGGUUAAAGUAUUAUUUUCUGUGUGAAUUAGAAUUUUUUUAUUCUGAACCAUCAAAACAAUAGGCAGAAUUAAAUGCUGAAUCUGGUACGAUUGCAACCGCCAUCUCUAACCCCAGGUUCUGAUGUGUGUCAUCAAAGCAUCUAUUUCUGAGUAUCAUUUUAAUAGGUUAUAGACAUGAACUUGUAAAAUAAAGAAAUGCAAAUAAAAUGACCUUUUAAAAA
rnacentral:lncRNA from 1 species